rnacentral:rRNA from 1 species
AGAGUUUGAUCCUGGCUCAGGACGAACGCUGGCGGCGUGCCUAACACAUGCAAGUCGAACGGGACCAGGGGCAACUCUGGUUCAGUGGCGGACGGGUGCGUAACACGUGAGGAACAUGACUUUCGGCGGGGGAUAGCCGGCCCAACGGCCGGGUAAUACCGCGUACGACCUUUCGGGGACAUCCCCGGUUGGUGAAAGCAGCAAUGCACCGAAAGAGUGCCUCGCGGCCUAUCAGCUAGUUGGUGGGGUAACGGCUCACCAAGGCGACGACGGGUAGCUGGUCUGAGAGGAUGGCCAGCCACAUUGGGACUGAGACACGGCCCAGACUCCUACGGGAGGCAGCAGUGGGGAAUAUUGCGCAAUGGGCGAAAGCCUGACGCAGCGACGCCGCGUGUGGGAUGACGGCCUUCGGGUUGUAAACCACUGUCGGGAGGGACGAAUGCGCCGCAAGGCGAGUGACGGUACCUCCAAAGGAAGCACCGGCUAACUCCGUGCCAGCAGCCGCGGUAAUAC